rnacentral:rRNA from 1 species
UACAGAGGUCUCAAGCGUUUGUUCGGAUUCAUUGGGGCGUAAAGGGUGCGUAGGCGGGCGGGGCAAGUCGGAUGUGAAAUCUCAGGGCUCAACCCUGAAACUGCAUUCGAUACUGCCUUGCUCGAGGACUGGAGAGGAGAUUGGAAUUCACGGUGUAGCAGUGAAAUGCGUAGAUAUCGUGAGGAAGACCAGUGGCGAAGGCGGAUCUCUGGACAGUCCUGACGCUGAGGCGACGAAGGCCAGGGGAGCAAACGGG